rnacentral:rRNA from 1 species
UACGUAGGUGGCUAGCGUUGUCCGGAAUCAUUGGGCGUAAAGAGCGUGUAGGCGGCCCGGUAAGUCCGCUGUAAAAGUCAAAGGCUCAACCUUUGAAUGUCAGUGGAUACUGCCGGGCUAGAGUCCGGAAGAGGCGAGUGGAACUCCUGGUGUAGCGGUGGAAUGCGCAGAUAUCAGGAAGAACACCAACGGCGAAGGCAGCUCGCUAGGACGGUACUGACGCUGAGACGCGAAAGCGUGGGGAGCGAACAGG